rnacentral:rRNA from 1 species
GAUUCGCCAUGCAUGUCUAAGUACAUGCCGUAUUAAGGCGAAACCGCGAAUGGCUCAUUAAAUCAGUCAUGGUUCCUUGGAUCGUACCUUACUACUUGGAUAACUGUGGCAAUUCUAGAGCUAAUACAUGCAGCAGAGCUCCGACCUUCGGGGACGAGCGCUUUUAUUAGACCAAAACCAAUCGGACCUCGUGUCCGUCCUUUGUGGUGACUCUGUAUAACUUUGGGCUGAUCGCACGGGCCUGUCCCGGCGACGUAUCUUUCAAGUGUCUGCCUUAUCAACUUUCGAUGGUAGGUUACGCGCCUACCAUGGUCGUAACGGGUAACGGGGAAUCAGGGUUCGAUUCCGGAGAGGGAGCCUGAGAAACGGCUACCACAUCCAAGGAAGGCAGCAGGCGCGCAAAUUACCCACUCCCAGAACGGGGAGGUAGUGACGAAAAAUAACAAUACGGGACUCUUUUGAGACCCCGUAAUUGGAAUGAGUACACUCUAAAUCCUUUAACGAGGAUCCAUUGGAGGGUAAGUCUGGUGCCAGCAACCGCGGUAAUUCCAGCUCCAAUAGCGUAUAUUAAAGUUGUUGCGGUUAAAAAGCUCGUAGUUGGAUCUCAGUUCCAGACGGGUGGUCCGCCUACCGGUGGUUACUGCCUGUUCUGAACAGUCAGCCGGUUUCUCUUGAUGAUCUUCAUCGGUUGUCUUGGGUGACCGGCAAGUUUACUUUGAAAAAAUUAGAGUGCUCAAAGCAGGCGUGACGCCUGAAUAAUGGUGCAUGGAAUAAUGGAAUAGGACCUCGGUUCUAUUUUGUUGGUUUUCGGAACACGAGGUAAUGAUUAAGAGGGACAGACGGGGGCAUUCGUAUUGCGACGCUAGAGGUGAAAUUCUUGGACCGUCGCAAGACGAACUACUGCGAAAGCAUUUGCCAAGAAUGUUUCCAUUAAUCAAGAACGAAAGUUAGAGGUUCGAAGGCGAUCAGAUACCGCCCUAGUUCUAACCAUAAACGAUGCCAGCCAGCGAUCCGGCUGUGU